AGUGAACGCUGGCGGUAGGCCUAACACAUGCAAGUCGAACGGCAGCACAGUAAGAGCUUGCUCUUACGGGUGGCGAGUGGCGGACGGGUGAGGAAUACAUCGGAAUCUACUUUUUCGUGGGGGAUAACGUAGGGAAACUUACGCUAAUACCGCAUACGACCUACGGGUGAAAGCAGGGGAUCUUCGGACCUUGCGCGAUUGAAUGAGCCGAUGUCGGAUUAGCUAGUUGGCGGGGUAAAGGCCCACCAAGGCGACGAUCCGUAGCUGGUCUGAGAGGAUGAUCAGCCGCACUGGAACUGAGACACGGUCCAGACUCCUAUGGGAGGGAGCAGUGGGGAAUAUUGGACAAUGGGCGGAAGCCUGAUCCAGCCAUACCGCGUGGGUGAAGAAGGCCUUCGGGUUGUAAAGCCCUUUUGUUGGGAAAGAAAAGCAGCAGGUUAAUACCCCGCUGUUCUGACGGUACCCAAAGAAUAAGCACCGGCUAACUUCGUG
rnacentral:rRNA from 1 species